UCUGCCGGAGGCCAUCGCGGACGAGCUAGCGCGGUUAGCGGUCGCGUGGUGACGGGUCGUGACCGUCCAGCCGAC
rnacentral:tRNA from 1 species